CAAGGAUUCCCCUAGUAACGGCGAGUGAAGCGGGAAGAGCUCAAAUUUAAAAUCUGGCAGUCUACGAUUGUCCGAAUUGUAAUCUCGAGAAGUGUUUUCCGCGUUGGCCUGUGCACAAGUCCCUUGGAACAGGGCGUCAUAGAGGGUGAGAAUCCCGUCCUUGGCACAGAUACCCAAUGCUUUGUGAUACACUCUCAAUGAGUCGAGUUGUUUGGGAAUGCAGCUCAAAAUGGGAGGUAAAUUCCUUCUAAAGCUAAAUACUGGCGAGAGACCGAUAGCGAACAAGUACCGUGAGGGAAAGAUGAAAAGCACUUUGGAAAGAGAGUCAAACAGUACGUGAAAUUGUUGAAAGGGAAACGAUUGAAGUCAGUCGUGCCUGCCUAGAUUCAGCCUUCUGGUGUAUUUCUAGGUCGGCAGGUCAGCAUCAGUUUGGGAGGGUUAACAAGGGGAUUAGGAAUGUGGCAACCUCGGUUGUGUUAUAGCCUAGUUUCGUAUUGAUCUUGCUGGACUGAGGAACGCAGUGCGCCCGCAAGGGUAGGUCUUCGGACACUUUCGCACUUAGGAUGCUGGCAUAAUGGCUUU
rnacentral:rRNA from 1 species